UACGUAGGGGGCAAGCGUUGUCCGGAAUUAUUGGGCGUAAAGCGCGUGUAGGCGGCUUUGCAAGUCGGAUGUGAAAGGCCCUCGGCUCAACCGAGGAAGUGCGUUCGAAACUGCAGAGCUUGAGUGCCGGAGAGGGUGGCGGAAUUCCCCAAGUAGAGGUGAAAUUCGUAGAUAUUAGGAAGAACACCGGUGGACGAAGGCGGCCACUGGUCCGGUACUGACGCUGAGGUGCGAAGCGUGGGGAGCAAACAGG
rnacentral:rRNA from 1 species